UUUAUAGAAUUAAUAUGUAAAAAACAUUUCUUUGUUUGAAAUUGUUUCAAUUUAAUUACCAAUAAUGAUCGGCUGAUAUUCAUGUGGUUUAAAACACGAUAUAUCAUUUCGAAGGGAAUUCGUUUGUAAUAAAUAGGACAAACUUUUUUAACAAUACGAUUUUGUAAUUAUUUUGUAUCAUAAUUAAUUAGAUUUCGAUGGAUCGCGUUAUUCCGUCUUAAGAUGUAUUAUCUCGAUACGUCACACGAGUAUGGAUAUAAUAAAUGAAAAAAAAGAAACGUUUCUACACGCCUAUUUAGAUAGGACAUUGAUAAGAAUUUUUAUAUUUCUUAGAUAAUAUAUUAUAAAGCCAAUCGAGCAAGUUAUAAAGAUGGAAAAGUUUUUGUCUGUGAACGAACACGAUUGAUUUUUGCGUUCAAUUCCAAGCAGAACGACAAGAACAAAAGACAAUGAAGAAGAAAAAAAGACAAACAGACACGAACAAAUAAAUAAAUAAAUAAAUAAAUAAAUAAAUAAAUAAACAAAGAAGAAGUGAAACACCGUCAAACAAAUUAUAAGAAACAUACAAUUAUUCAUUUAACACUAUAUGCCAAUUUCUGUGUUCAUUAAUCGAUUUACUUUUUUCUCUCUGCGAUUAACUUUUAAUACUUUUAUAUUAAAUAUUUUUAAUAAUAAACAUGACUUAAGAGAGAGGGAGAGAGAGAGAGAGAGAGAGAGAGAGAGCUGAACGCAAUUAUCGUCAAGAAUAAAAUCAAAUUCAAUGUUCAAGAACAAUAACUAAGAUAUGUAUUACAUAUUAAAUGCGCUAAAAACUUGUAAAAGAAAAAAAGAAGAGAAGAUGAGAGAAAAGAGGAGAAAAGAAAAGAAAAGAAAAGAAAAAAAAAGGAUGCAAAAGCAUUUGAAGAAAAAAAAAAAAAAUUACGACAUGUUACACCUAGAGAAAAAUCGUCUACGUUGUUUAAAUAAUCGAUAUUCCCAAUAGAUUACUAAUGAAAUAUUAGGCAAGAACAGCGGCGUGAUUAAGAUUAUUGUAAAUUAGUUGUAAAAAAAAAAAAGAAAAUAAAUAAAUAAAUAAAUAAAUAAAAUUCAUCGAUCCUAUCGUGAGAACGGGCAGAGAGAGAGAGAGAGAGAGAGAGAGAGAGAGAGAGAGAGAGGAAGAGUUCUCCAUUUGAAAAUAAAAAUAAAAAAAAAAAAAAAAUAAAAAAAAAGGAGAAGAAAAAAAAUGAAAAAAAGAAGGAUGUCCUUAGAUCUGAUUAUUAUAUCUGGAGCAUUAAAAAUCAUUGAAAGAAAUAAUUUAUUUCACGAUUUAAAUAUAUAUUGAGAAAAUAUAAAGAAAUUCUUCUCUCAAAUCAAGGAUAAUGUUCUACUGGUCGAUCCAUGAAAAUGAAUUAUGGGUAUCGGAGAAGAAAGAACAAGAAAAAGAGAAGAAAAAAAGAAAAAUGGAGAAAAAAGAAAAAUGAUAAUAAUAAUAAAAAUAAUAAUAAUAAUAAUAAUAAUAAUAAUAAUAAUAAUAAUAAUAAUAAUAAUAAUAAUAAUAAUAAUAAUAAAGAAAAAGAAAACAGAAGAAGGUCUGCCUCGCGUUUUCGAACGACGAAAAUUCAUGCGGUUUGCGAUUUCGCAAAGUGUUCCUUUCGUUUCGUUUCUUGUAACAUAUCAUAAGAUGUAAGAUAUAAUCACAAUCAAUUGGUAUAGUUCGAAAAGUUGAAUGGAAACUAAUCGAUUUUGAUUAAUCGAAGGACGGAAAGGGAAAAAGAGAAAGAAUGAAUACGAUAUACGUAAAAUUAAAGGGGAAGAAAAGAAAAAAAAAAAAUUAGCGACUAAUGACAAUCGAUACUGGUCGCUAAAGAUAUCGUUAUCGUCCUAGCUACUUCUAAGAAGAGAGAUUGGUUUGGAAAGUCGAAAGAAAA